UGGUCACCAGCGCCCUGGGACUUCCUUUUCUGAGGCGUCCAAUGAGGGGUCAGAGGCAUGGACUCUGCUACCAGAUGGCCCAGGCUUUAGCCUGGCUCCAUAAUGCUUGCUGUGCUGACUUGGGAAGGGGCUUAACCACUCUGUGCAUAGUCCAGUACCUGUGCUCACAGGGUGUUAUGGGCCGCAUCGUGUCACCUCCAAAAUUCAGAUGUUGAAGCCCUAAACCGCAAUACUUCCAAAGGUGACUGUGUUUGGAGACAAGCCUUUAAGGAGGUAAUUAAAGUAAAUGAGGUCAUUAGGAAAGGCCCUAGUUGAAUAGGACAGGUGCCAUUACGAGAAGAGUAGAUUAGGGUGCAGACAUAUACAGAAGGAAGACCAUGGAAAGACACAGGGAGGAGCAGGCGGCCGUCGGCAAGUCAAAGAGAGAGGUCUCAGCAGGAAGAAACCCUGCCAACACUUUGACCUUGGACUUUGAGCCUUCAGAACUGGGAGAAAAUGAGUUUCUGUUCUUUUAGUCAUCUGGUCUGUGGUACUUUGCUACGUCAUCCCGAGCAAACUGUUACAUGGGGUCCCCAAGGAGAUAAAUGUGUUUGUGCAAGUGAAGUGCUCUGAGUACCCUGCUCUGGCCCACAGGGAACACAGUCCACUCAGCGGCCAGACGCCAGUCUGUAGGGUGGGGCCAUAUUGAGGAUGGGAGGAGAAAAGGAAGCGGAAAGUUCUGGCAACUGGAGGAACCUCUGCUUCUCCUCAGUGAACCAGCUCUGAGCUCCAGAGUGCCCUUACUUCACCCCGGCCACACUUCCCCCCUCUCUCAAGGAUGGGCCGGGCUCCACAGGCCUCUGCUGGGGCUGGUCCCUUUGCUGGCUGAGGCUGUUGCUGCUACUGUACCCUGGGGCCUGUCUCUCAUCUAAGCAGAGUGUCCUAGGACACUGGGCUGAGGUGACCCUCACUCUGGAGGGGCUGCAGGAGACUGAGGAGGGAGUGAAGAUGUCCCUGGAGGAUGGGACAAGUGUGCUGGGAGGUGGGAGGUGAGCAAGGUUGUCAGGGAGGUAAGUUCAUCCCUCCAGAGAGCAGGACCAGAGCCAAAGAUGCUGAUGUGGGCAGACAGGGAGUCCACCGCAGUCCACUGGCCAGUCCCUUUUCUGUAGUCGGUUCUUCAGCUUCUCAGCUCUAAGGUCCAAGGAAAUCUAAGUCUGAACUCUCCAAGGAAAUCUACUUCUGAACUCCUCCAAAGCAUUUCUUCUUCCUCCCCUUACUUUAUGGAAGCACGUGGUAACUGAGACACCCAAUUGAUGCAGGCUUGGUGAGUCGAGGAGUCGAAAGAAAGAUCUCUUGAACUCUCAAGGUCUGGCAGUAGUGCUCUUUUAUUCAGAGAAUAGGAUGGGGACAGGACCUAUGGGCAGUAAGAUCUGUCAUGUAUUGGGGGUUAGAGCUAAAUUUAGAAGGCAUAGGUAUGUGAGCUAUUUCUUUACAAGACAAAGGAAAGAUCAUGAAAAAAGUCAUUAAAAUGGUAUCAGUGCAGGUGGGGUCUGGUUGUUGGGUGUUCCUGUAACUUUGGAUAGAAAUCAGAGUGGACUAAGUCAGGAUGUCCUAUGCUUUCCGAGGGUGAUAUAGAUCAGUAUGUAGGGCAGGAUGUCUUGGGCUUCUCCCUGGGGCAGGGGCAGCCUUGAUCCUCAUCACAAUGAGCUCUGUAGCUAAUGCUGCUCCUUGCUGCCCAUGCAGGGGACCCUGGUUCUCUCCUGCCCAGGUCCCUUCAUCAACAUCAAGUUUCCAGGAAGCCAUCUCAGGAGCUUCUUUAGGCAAGAGCUGAAGUAUCCAAAGGAAUGUUCCAUUGGGGCUGGAACGAGUCCAAGAGCAUGGGAAGAACUUUCCGGACACCUCUGAGGGGCUCCCAGUACAUCCCAUGAACUCCAUUCACACCUCCAUGGGAUCCUCAGAGGUGGACCAAGGGGGAGUCCAAGGAAAGAAGCUGCUUAGCACCUGGGCCUCCCACACUGUUGUGACCCCAGAGCCCACUCUUCUUUGCCCCCUGCUUCUUUGCUCCCCACUCCUCUCUGGUGAGUCCACUUCCCUUGCACCUGUCCCUGCCUCAUGUCUCAGUCUUUCCAAAGACCAAGUGAUGAACCCACCUUCCUGUCCAUUCCCUGGUGGUCAGUCUGAGUGUGGACACAAUGCUGCUCCAGGCACGGGUCAGCAGCCAGGGUGGUGAGGCCAUGGGGUUUUCUGGACCACGCACAGCAGGGACACGCGGAUGGUAAUACCAUUGGGCAGGGGAGGUGGGUUCUGAGAAUGAAAAGGUCACCUAAAUGGCAGAAAGUGGCCCAGAGUCACAGAGCACCCCUGACCUUUAUCUCCCGCUGGGACGUUGGAUCUAGUUGGCCCGAGAACAAGGCCCCAGUCUUCGCAGGGGGCCGAUGGCUGAUGCCUUGUUUUGUGUGUCUGUGGUGUGUCUGUGUAUAUGCAUGUGUGUUUGUGUCUGUAGUCUUUAUGUGAGUGUCUGUUGUGUGUGUGUGUGUUUCUUUGGUCUGUUUGCAUAUGUGUGUGUGUGUGUUUGGGGUUUCUCUGUGAGCGUCUGAGGUGUGUGUGUCUGUACCUAUUUUUGAAGCGUAUAUCUGUUGCUGCCCAAUAGGGGUCGUCUGCUCGCCUCAGGACACACCAAUAGUCAGGAGGCAAGGUGGUAGGAGAGAAAGGACUUUAUUACAGCUUGCUAGCAAGAGGGAAGAUGGCCGACUCAUAUCCAAAAGAAACAUCUUCCCGAACAAAGACUACAGGCCCAUCACAGAAGGAGCUAUUCUCCAGGUGGGGGAGGUGGCUUGUCUCAGCAUGGGGGCAGACAUCUGGUCCCAGUUCCUGAUAGUCCUUUGUUUUACUGGAUACGCAUCAGAAUGGAGAAAUGCCCUACAUCCUGAUCUUUCACUUGUCCUUGAUGAUGGCUAUCAGCAUAGGCUCUCUGCCCUGGGCUCCUCACAUUCCUAAGGAACUCAAAAGAACAGUUAGCAACUUAGAACAGCUGAGAGGGGCCACAAAAUCUACAGAGCAUGUCUGGCGCUAGGCAGUCAGAGGACACUUAAAGUUACAAUAUGGUUUCCUUUCUACAAUAUGGCUUCUCUUAUGUCAACCUUGAGUUGAGCCGUAUCACAUGUGCCUCUGUGUGCAUAUAUAUGUGCAUCUGUGGUGUUUCUGUGUGCAUGUCUAAGCUGUAUGUGUCUGUGUAAAGUGCCUACUGUGUGUGAGCAUAUGUGUACAUACUCAAAUGUCAGUUUCUCAAUGUUAAUGUCCAAGGAACAUACUGAAGAGUAUAAUCUUUCCCAUAUUCCCUAUAUUAUCUUUCAUGUUUCAUUUUUGUCCAAACUCCUUAUCACCAGUCAAUAUAAUCUAUAUAAUCUACAUAAUUAUUCUUUGGCUGUCUCUCCUGCCAUUAAAAUGUAAGCUUUACAAAGGAUCUUGUAUCUCUUCCAUUCACUGCGGAAUCUAUUCUGCCUAGAAAACUGCUUGGCAUAUAUUAGAUGAUCAAUAAAUAUUUGAUUUAAGAUUUUUAAGUAAAUUCAGAAGAAGCAAGAUGAGAUGACUGGCUGUCUUCAAUGGAAAACUAUGCGUUCUUUAGAGCAUUCUCUUCUGGAGUUAUUUGAUUUUAGCAUUUUAUUGCCUUUGACCUGUUUUACAAUGCUAAAAUUUGUGUAUAAUUAAUAGCAAUGCAAAUAGCUCAUGGCCACAGACAUGCACAUUCUGUUCACUGGGAGGCUGCUUGAAUCCCCCCACCAUGCCAAUUUCACAUGCAUUCACAAAUUCAUUUCAACACUACUUUACUCCAUAUACAUAUGCACAUCUUCCGUUUCUGCCUGGUUCUCCCAUUAGUGAGUUAUAUAAAAUGAGUUGCUGUUCAAUGAGUAUAAAUUUCAGUCAUGGAAGGGGAAAAAUUUCUAGAGAUCCACUGUACCAUAUAGUGACUAUAGCUAACACUAUCACACAUGUAAAAAUUGUUGAAGAGCGUAGAUCUCAAGUUAUGUGGUGUUUUUCCCACCAUAAAAAAAUCUUUAGCACGUGUUCAUUUUAUAUCUAUGUGACAGUCAUGAUUUUACCUUUUAAUAAAAUUAUCCUUUGAUAGAAUAAAUGAACAGAUUUGUGUGUACCUCUGUGCAUGUGUUGGCAUUUGGUUUGUGAUGUGUUCUAGUCAUUAGAAAGAGGUCCCCCUAGGCCAAAUAAGAUGGACCGUGUGACACCUUGGGCUCAUCUUAAAGGAUUUGGGCUGUUUCUGUUUGGCAGCUGGGAGCCACUGGAGGGUUGGAAGCAUAAAAGAGACAUCAUUGGGUUUUUUGAAUUCAUUUUGGCUUCUGUUUGGAGACAGAUUGGAGGUGAGCAGAGAGCAGGCGGGAAGACAAGUUUCUUUAACCAUGUAUUUAAGUUUCAACCUUAGAAAGUGAGUCCUUGGAGGCAAGACUGUGCAUCUCACGUAAGUGCUGUAGACUGGCCUUGCAUCCUAAUGAUAAAUUACACCGCAGGUGAUGAGUAUGUGCCCAAUGACAGGCUUCCGAAAUCUACAUACAGGUAAAUACACAAGUAGCAGAGUUUUGGAUCAAGUAUUGCUUUAAUUCUGGUAAAAAAAAUUAUGUAUAUAUGUCUUUCCUCUCCCUGUCUCUACUCCCUCAUAGCCAUAGGGAAUAGUUUGGAAGAGUAGAAGUGAGAGGUAAAUAAGUUUGCUCAUUUGUUUCUCUGCGUAGUGUCAGGGUCAACUCAGCAAAGUGAUUCCCUAAAGUGCACGGUUAUGUUAGGGAUGGGGAGAGAGGUCUGGGAGACAGUGAUCAUGGUGUCCCCGUGUCUGUCCAUUCCUUUCAGGCUUCCGUGUCCAGCACCUUCUCCUGUCCUGAGGGGAAAAGGAGCUCAAGUUUUCCUCAUCCCUCAUAUUCCAAAGGCCCCCUACAUUGCCAGGAAAAACAGGAGUGAGGUCAGAGUCUUGUAGAAUGCUGGCUCUGGAGGUGACAAGCUGGUGAACCAUGUUCUGGUGUUUGGGGGACUCAAGUAAGGGGUUACCUGGAGAGGUCCCUGAUGGCCUGAUGUAGCAGAUCCUGGAGAGGCCGUAGGGCAGGAGGAAGCCCGGCCCCAGUGGGCACUCCUGAGCAAGGGGAGGAAGGACAGAGAGGCACAUGUAGGAGAAAGUUGGCAAGAUAUGAUGUUCCUGUUUCCACUCCUUUUAGGAUGCAGACUUCCAGCUGUUUCAUGACUCUGGGGCUCCGGACAGCCUGGGCUAGAAACCACAGGAAGUGUCUGGGCACACUUGGAGUGUGAGCCCUGGAGUGGUUGAGAACACCUAACAAGAGACCAGAGGGCUCCAGACAGAAAUGCUAACUUUGUAAUUCCGUCUAAUUACUGGGGACACCCUUGGCUAAACCAACCUCACCUCAGGACAACAACCAAUCCCUAGUUAACACCAUGGAAUAUCCUGGACACCCCUGACCAGUAUCAUUGACCUAAGAUGUCACCAGACCCUUCCCCAGGCUACUUCCACUCUGCACCAGUGGCUGGGUGAUGUCUGUCUGCUCCACCUGGCUGAGCCACAGGUCAAGGGGAUGUUCUUGCUAAGACUCUGUAUACUGGCCUCUGUAUUGCUCCUUUAAGUAGUUUACUUCAUGCAAGCUGCACCAAAUGAAACAAAAAAACAACUCUGAAGGUGAGAAGGCUAGUCCUCACAUUUGACAAAGGGGAAAACUGAGUGUCAGGGUCAGCACUAUCAGACACUAUGCCUGGAUCCCUUUUCUCCCAUUCUGUCCACCUGUUCCAGUGCCUCUGGGCAGGAGAGGAUGGUCUCAGCCCUGAUGGGGAAGGUAAGAGCCUCCUGGACACUUUUUUCUGGUUCCAGCUUGUGUCCUUCUAGGUUCCCUACUCAGCCAGGCCCUCAGACAAAGGCCCUGUGGGAAAAUGAGGAUCAGCUACAGCCCCCACCCUGCUUGCUCACUCUCCCCUAGACCCACUCACCUGCCCACAGCAGGUGCAGCAGCAGCUGCAGCAUCUCUGAGAUGGAGGAUUCUGGACAUCUGUCCUGUGUCUGAAAAGAGAAGGAGAAGGUUAUUGGGAGAGGAGGUUGCGGGCAAACCCAUGGGAAGCUGGGGAGGAGCACACAACCUUGGUUCUUCACAGAAGAGGAACCGCAGGCCUGAGCUUGCCCCACCUCUGCACUGCAUGGAUGGACACUCCACGGCCCAGAGACCCUGACAUCCUCUUAGAGGGGAGCAGACAAGGAGCAGACCCCGUGUCCUGCCCCCAUCUUGGGGCUUCCCUCCUGCACCAGAGCCUGGACCAGGACCUCUGAGGACAUGUGAGGAAUGGGACACAGCGAGUCUGUAAGGGCUUCCCAUCUGAGUUGCAUUUCUGAGUCCUGUUGUCUACAUCAGGGAGCUGCUGAGCUUCUGCUUGACCUCAGUGGGUCACAACCUCAUCUAGAGCUUGGAUGGUGGGUCCUGCCAGAUGGGGGAUUCUUUAGAGUCUGCGUGAGUGUCUGGGGCAGAGGAAAAGAAGUGGGUCCUAGAUGAGGUGACAGGGGCAAUCAUUUAUUCCUCAAACACUGAGUGAGCAUCUCUGUGUCAGGAAGGCUGGAGACACGAAAGGAGUCGACUGACCUGGUCCAUGCCCAUGAGAUAUUCCCACCCAGUGGAGUCACUUCCUCCCCAAACACUCAAUCCUGUCUGGCUUUAAUGCUGCAGUCACUGGUUCUCAAGCUUCAUCCAUGUGGCAGCACAUGUCAGGACUCCUUCCUCUUUAAUACUGAAGAAUAUUCCACGCUGCAAAGGGGUUCCUGGACCCAAACCCAAUGUGUGUGUGUGGAGGGCUUCUGCAUACCAUCACGUGGAUCUCAGAAGUCAGCAGGGCAUCUGAGACUUCAGCUCAACUCUGACACGGUCUACCUGGAGACAGAAUCAGAUUCUACAGUGUAGGGAAGAGCUGGAAGCCAGAGACUGGAGGACAAGAGGCCACAGAAGAAACUGUUGGGAUCGUUCAGGAGGGAGACCGCAGCCUGGGUGAAGACAGCAGCCUUGGUGAUGGAGAUCUUUCCAAAGCUGAUGUAAGUGAACAUUUUCCAGACCAACAACACCCGAGGCCGUUCAUCCCCAGCGCACCUGCGCUAGCAGAAAUAUAAGAAAAGAUCUUCAGGCA